UGGACUUUUGCCAAAGAAAUUUGCUGAAUUGGUGGAUAAAAGUCUAUUAUUUAAAGUCGAGAGUAGGAAUGAUCAGACCUUUAAACUUGAACAAUCUUUCAAAGUUAAGAAAAUAUGUUUUGAUGAUGCUAUAAUUGAUAAGUUUAAUGAUUCUUCCAUGAAGUCAGUGGAUAUAUAUGCUGGCAAUGGAGAAUUCAACAGGGAAAAGGAGCGUAUAAUUAAGGAUUCGUGUGUAGAUGUUGCAAAGGUACCCUAAGAUAAUCCAAGCAUUGAUGAUUCGAAUAAUCCAUUGAAGAAGGAAUCAACAAAGAAGGUGCUAUCACUGGACUCUAUUGAAGAAGACAAUAUUUCG